rnacentral:rRNA from 1 species
UACGAAGGGGGCUAGCGUUGCUCGGAAUCACUGGGCGUAAAGCGCACGUAGGCGGAUUUUUAAGUCAGGGGUGAAAUCCUGGAGCUCAACUCCAGAACUGCCUUUGAUACUGGGAAUCUCGAGUCCGGAAGAGGUGAGUGGAACUGCGAGUGUAGAGGUGAAAUUCGUAGAUAUUCGCAAGAACACCAGUGGCGAAGGCGGCUCACUGGUCCGGUACUGACGCUGAGGUGCGAAAGCGUGGGGAGCGAACCGG